UAUGCCGUGAAAACGGUAGUCAGCUGG
rnacentral:sRNA from 1 species